AUGAACGCUGGCGGCGUGCCUAAUACAUGCAAGUCGAGCGAACAGACGAGGAGCUUGCUCCUCUGACGUUAGCGGCGGACGGGUGAGUAACACGUGGAUAACCUACCUAUAAGACUGGGAUAACUUCGGGAAACCGGAGCUAAUACCGGAUAAUAUAUUGAACCGCAUGGUUCAAUAGUGAAAGACGGUUUUGCUGUCACUUAUAGAUGGAUCCGCGCCGCAUUAGCUAGUUGGUAAGGUAACGGCUUACCAAGGCGACGAUGCGUAGCCGACCUGAGAGGGUGAUCGGCCACACUGGAACUGAGACACGGUCCAGACUCCUACGGGAGGCAGCAGUAGGGAAUCUUCCGCAGUGGGCGAAAGCCUGACGGAGCAACGCCGCGUGAGUGAUGAAGGUCUUCGGAUCGUAAAACUCUGUUAUUAGGGAAGAACAAAUGUGUAAGUAACUAUGCACGUCUUGACGGUACCUAAUCAGAAAGCCACGGCUAACUACGUG
rnacentral:rRNA from 1 species